rnacentral:rRNA from 1 species
GAGUUUGAUCCUGGCUCAGAGUGAACGCUGGCGGCAGGCCUAACACAUGCAAGUCGAACGGCAGCACAGCCCUAGCAAUAGGGUGGGUGGCGAGUGGCGGACGGGUGAGGAAUACAUCGGAAUCUACCUUGUCGUGGGGGAUAACGUAGGGAAACUUACGCUAAUACCGCAUACGAACUAUGGUUGAAAGCGGCGGACCGCAAGGCGUCGCGCGAUUGGAUGAGCCGAUGUCCGAUUAGCUAGUUGGCGGGGUAAAGGCCCACCAAGGCGACGAUCGGUAGCUGGUCUGAGAGGAUGAUCAGCCACACUGGAACUGAGACACGGUCCAGACUCCUACGGGAGGCAGCAGUGGGGAAUAUUGGACAAUGGGCGCAAGCCUGAUCCAGCCAUGCCGCGUGUGUGAAGAAGGUCUUCGGAUUGUAAAGCACUUUAAGUGGGAGGAAGGGCAGUAAUUAAUACUUUACUGUUUUGACGUUACCGACAGAAUAAGCACCGGCUAACUCUGUGGCAGCAG